GGCAUUUAAUCCAAGUGGUCAACGUUUCAGUUCAGUUGUGAACUGAAACGUUGACCACUUGGAUUAAA
rnacentral:miRNA from 1 species